GUGGCGGACGGGUGAGUAACACGUGGGUAACCUGCCCAUAAGAGGGGGAUAACAUUCGGAAACGGAUGCUAAUACCGCAUAUUUCUAAACGUCACAUGACGAAUAGAAGAAAGGUGGCUUCGGCUACCGCUUAUGGAUGGACCCGCGGCGUAUUAGCUAGUUGGUGAGGUAAUGGCUCACCAAGGCGAUGAUACGUAGCCGACCUGAGAGGGUGAUCGGCCACACUGGGACUGAGACACGGCCCAGACUCCUACGGGAGGCAGCAGUAGGGAAUCUUCCGCAAUGGACGAAAGUCUGACGGAGCAAUGCCGCGUGAGUGAAGAAGGUUUUCGGAUCGUAAAACUCUGUUGUUAGAGAAGAACAAGGAUGAGAGUAACUGCUCAUCCCCUGACGGUAUCUAACCAGAAAGCCACGGCUAACUACGUGCCAGCAGCCGCGGUAAUACGUAGGUGGCAAGCGUUGUCCGGAUUUAUUGGGCGUAAAGCGAGCGCAGGCGGUUCUUUAAGUCUGAUGUGAAAGCCCCCGGCUCAACCGGGGAAGGUCAUUGGAAACUGGGGAACUUGAGUGCAGAAGAGGAGAGUGGAAUUCCACGUGUAGCGGUGAAAU
rnacentral:rRNA from 2 species